GAUGAACGCUGGCGGCGUGCCUAAUACAUGCAAGUCGAGCGAACAGAUGAGGAGCUUGCUCCUCUGACGUUAGCGGCGGACGGGUGGGUAACACGUGGAUAACCUACCUAUAAGACUGGGAUAACUUCGGGAAACCGGAGCUAAUACCGGAUAAUAUAUUGAACCGCAUGGUUCAAUAGUGAAAGACGGUUUUGCUGUCACUUAUAGAUGGAUCCGCGCCGCAUUAGCUAGUUGGUAAGGUAACGGCUUACCAAGGCAACGAUGCGUAGCCGACCUGAGAGGGUGAUCGGCCACACGGGAACUGAGACACGGUCCAGACUCCUACGGGAGGCAGCAGUAGGGAAUCGUCCGCAAUGGGCGAAAGCUUGACGGAGCAACGCCGAGUGAGUGAUGAAGGUCUUCGGAUCGUAAAACUCUGUUAUUAGGGAAGAACAAAUGUGUAAGUAACUAUGCACGUCUUGACGGUACCUAAUCAGAAAGCCACGGCUAACUACGUG
rnacentral:rRNA from 1 species